rnacentral:ncRNA from 2 species
AUGAUGGAGGCAGGAGAGACCGUUUUCGGCACCGAAGAAGAAAAUUGCAAUAGGUCGUAUUGCAGUGAACCUUUCAGGUAAAAGGACUGUUUUCGGACA